CACUCCUGCGGGAGGCAGCAGUGGGGAAUAUUGGACAAUGGGCGCAAGCCUGAUCCAGCCAUGCCGCGUGAGUGAUGAAGGCCCUAGGGUUGUAAAGCUCUUUCACCGGUGAAGAUAAUGACGGUAACCGGAGAAGAAGCCCCGGCUAACUUCGUGCCAGCAGCCGCGGUAAUACGAAGGGGGCUAGCGUUGUUCGGAUUUACUGGGCGUAAAGCGCACGUAGGCGGACUAUUAAGUCAGGGGUGAAAUCCCGGGGCUCAACCCCGGAACUGCCUUUGAUACUGGUAGUCUUGAGUUCGAGAGAGGUGAGUGGAAUUCCGAGUGUAGAGGUGAAAUUCGUAGAUAUUCGGAGGAACACCAGUGGCGAAGGCGGCUCACUGGCUCGAUACUGACGCUGAGGUGCGAAAGCGUGGGGAGCAAACAGGAUUAGAUACCCGGGUAGUCCCA
rnacentral:rRNA from 1 species